rnacentral:rRNA from 1 species
GAUGAACGCUGGCGGCGUGCCUAAUACAUGCAAGUCGAGCGAACAGAUAAGGAGCUUGCUCCUUUGACGUUAGCGGCGGACGGGUGAGUAACACGUGGGUAACCUACCUAUAAGACUGGAAUAACUCCGGGAAACCGGGGCUAAUGCCGGAUAACAUUUAGAACCGCAUGGUUCUAAAGUGAAAGAUGGUUUUGCUAUCACUUAUAGAUGGACCCGCGCCGUAUUAGCUAGUUGGUAAGGUAACGGCUUACCAAAGCAACGAUACGUAGUCGACCGGAGAGGGGGGACGGCACCACUGGAACGGAGACACGGUCCAGACGCCUACGGGGGGCAGCAGAAGGGAAUCUUCCGCAAUGGGCGAAAGCCUGGCGGAGCAACGCCGCGUGAGUGAUGAAGGGUUUCGGCUCGUAAAACUCUGUUAUUAGGGAAGAACAAACGUGUAAGUAACUGUGCACGUCUUGACGGUACCUAAUCAGAAAGCCACGGCUAACUACGUGCCAGCCGCCGCAGUAAGAC